UCAGAAAGCCCAAGUCCUUUAGGGAUCCCAUCAUGGCCCAGGCUCUCUGUUUGCUUGUGCUUCUUGGUUACUCCUCAGUUGUCACUUCACAGCCCACUUUGACUCAACCUGCCUCUGCGUCGGAGGCCCUGGGUCAAACGGUGAAACUCUCCUGCUCCAUCAGCAGUAAUCCAAACAGUGUUCGCUGGCUCCAACAGACAUCUGGACGGGCUCCUCGCUUUGUACAUUGUGAUGGCUGCAGUAGAGGACCAGGGAUCCCGGAUCGAUUUACAGGCACCCGAUCAGGGAACAUGGGAUAUUUGACCAUCACCAACCUUCAGGCUGAAGAUGAGGCCAUGUAUUAUUGUUUCAUGUGGUACAGCAGUGGCAGCAUGUUCCACAGUGUGGAAAGCCUAUGA